UUCCCAGCAAAUCCUAUCCCUACCUCUUCGUGGCACUGGCCGGGGUACGAGCAACCUUAGGGAAGAUCGGGUAAUCAACACUGGUGCGAAAUUUGGUCGUACACUGACAGGGAAAG
rnacentral:ribozyme from 1 species